CCAAAUCUGUCCGGCCCCAAUUCCACGGCCCAAACCAGAUCAUAAAUCUCCCUCUCACUUUCCAUGAGAAAUUCUACACCUUUUUUAUUCAACCUCCAUCCUCUGUACAGUGAUAGGGGCUGCUCGGGAAAUUCAAUAAUCAGAAUCAGGUUAAUCCCGAGUCUCCUUUUCUCCGCCAUCCAGCUACGUUGGGUUUUGUGUGAUCCAGAUCAUAAAAUCUGGUGGGAUCUAUUCUGAACCGUAUCUUGGGAUUUCCUAACAGCCCCUCAAGAACACCAGUCUAACAAUGGAGUUACAGAAUGAAGAUGUUAGUUUGGUGUAAAUUUUAUGUUUCUAUUUGUUCACUAGGAUUUAGAUGUGUCUAUUUAUUUGUCAUAACAUUUUGAUACAAAAGCAUGUCCCAAUUACAGCCAGCAUCAGAAAAUGUAGGAUGUAUUGUUGACUUAA